CCAAACGGUGAUGCUAUUGCAUGUGUUCCUAGCUAUCACAAAACAACCAGCUUUUGAUCAUCCUUUGCUCAAAGAUCACAAGAUUCAGAUGCAGCCUAAUUAGGGACUCUUUGAUGACAAUAAAGUACCUUUUAAGAUGUCACAAAUAGAAAGGCAUACAUAUCUCUCAGUUAUGACAUCAGUAUAUGGUAAAUGUUUCGAAGGGACCAUUCCCAUGAGGAGGGCAAAGGAAGAUGAUAUCUUGAGUACAAGUUCAUUCAAAAGAUAUGGUAAGAAGAAGGAAUGAACUCUCCCGUUUCCUAAAUGUGCAGAACCUGACUUCACUAACCAAAGAGGUCACCAGAUGAGAAAAGUUUUUCUUUUUGUUGGUUUCUUGAUCUCGUUUGUAUAUUUGUUUCGGUUUCUUGAACUUUAGCAUGACAUAGCUUAUGUGAAUGUGACUAUUCACUUACUGGAUUGUAGUUCCUGAGACCACUGUCUAAUUAAAUUCUUAUAGUCAUGUGCUUCUGUUCCCUAUAA